GACAAACGCUGGCGGCGUGCCUAACACAUGCAAGUCGAGCGGUCCAGGAGGCAAGAAGCGAGAAGCAGGAAGCAAGAGAUAGAAGGAAUUGGCGAAGCCAAUUCCAACAAAAAAUCCUGCCUCCUGCAUCUGGCUUCUUGUCUCCUGGAUAGCGGCGGACGGGUGAGUAACGCGUGGGUAAUCUACCCUUCAGACCGGGAUAACACCGGGAAACUGGUGCUAAUACCGGAUGUGGUCUCCGGGAGGCAUCUUCCGGAGAAGAAAGGAAGGAGACGACCGCUGAAGGAUGAGCCCGCGUCCCAUUAGCUAGUUGGUGAGGUAACGGCUCACCAAGGCGACGAUGGGUAGCCGGCCUGAGAGGGUGGCCGGCCACACUGGGACUGAGACACGGCCCAGACUCCUACGGGAGGCAGCAGUGGGAAUUUGCGCAAUGGGGAAACCCUGACGCAGCAACGCCGCGUGAGCGAUGAAGGCCUUCGGUUGGUAAGUCUCUGUCAUACG
rnacentral:rRNA from 1 species